UCUUAUCGCUUUUGCACGCGGCACAAUAUGCUGUCAACGAAACACAUGCCAGGGCGAUACUACCUCAUUUUAUCUGGAUCGUGCAAUAUUUGAUAUCGCCGACAAGAUAGUCUGUCCCGGUUGUGGUCGUGGAGGGUGCUGCUACAAAUGUAAUAAAUGCGAAUCAGUGGAAUUCACAAACAGUGCCUGUCGGUUCUACAAUGCUAGAGCUGGACCAAAAUGUUCGAAAUGCGGAUCGGAAUGCCAAAACGUUUAGAUUUUGGCCGAGUUCCUGACAGACUGGACUGAGGAAUAACACUAAGAAUAAAAUGACAGUUCCAAGAUAGCCUGUUACAUAUUAACACUACACAUUUUCAUAAUUAUUAAAUAAGUAAGCUUAUUGUUUAGAAUUCAAUGCUAAAAGUGUCUAAACAUGCAACACAAAACCCACUCUGAAAUGACUCAAACGUUAUAUAAAAGCGGCGAAAAACACCUACGUCAUUAUCACGUAAGAAGAGAAAAAGAAAAAGAACAAAGUAUAAACGGUGUUUAUACAUAUCUUUUUCUUAGAGAAAAAAAAGCUUUAUGAAUAAUGUACGUUCUACUAAUAAAUGUAAUUCGUCAAGGACAGUCAAAUGUUAGAUUACUUUCUAUGCAGUUUAUUGUUAAUUGAUAAACCGGUAUACAACGUGAAAGAGAUA